ACUCCUACGGGAGGCAGCAGUGGGGAAUAUUGCACAAUGGGCGGAAGCCUGAUGCAGCAACGCCGCGUGCGGGAUGACGGCCUUCGGGUUGUAAACCGCUUUCGCCUGUGACGAAGCGUGAGUGACGGUAAUGGGUAAAGAAGCACCGGCUAACUACGUGCCAGCAGCCGCGGUGAUACGUAGGGUGCGAGCGUUGUCCGGAUUUAUUGGGCGUAAAGGGCUCGUAGGUGGUUGAUCGCGUCGGAAGUGUAAUCUUGGGGCUUAACCCUGAGCGUGCUUUCGAUACGGGUUGACUUGAGGAAGGUAGGGGAGAAUGGAAUUCCUGGUGGAGCGGUGGAAUGCGCAGAUAUCAGGAGGAACACCAGUGGCGAAGGCGGUUCUCUGGGCCUUUCCUGACGCUGAGGAGCGAAAGCGUGGGGAGUGAACAGGCUUAGAUACCCUGGUAGUCCACGCUGUAAACGGUGGGUACUAGGUGUGGGGUCCAUUCCACGGGUUCCGUGCCGUAGCUAACGCUUUAAGUACCCCGCCUGGGGAGUACGGCCGCAAGGCUAAAACUCAAAUGAAUUGACGG
rnacentral:rRNA from 1 species